GACCUCUUAGAAGGAAGGCUCAUCUAUACACUUCAAGGACAUACGGGACCUGUCUUUACUGUUUCAUUUUCAAAAGGUGGAGAGCUAUUUGCAUCAGGAGGUGCAGACACACAGGUCUUAUUAUGGAGGACUAACUUUGAUGAAUUGCAUUGUAAAGGUCUUACCAAAAGAAAUCUCAAAAGAUUACAUUUUGAUUCACCACCACAUCUUCUUGAUAUCUACCCAAGAACACCACAUCCCCAUGAGGAAAAAGUUGAGACUGUAGAAGUGAGUAUUUUGUUCAUAUUUGUCCUACAUUUUGUGUACAUUUUGAGGCUUUUGCUGAAGGAGGUGUUUGAAAUUACUGAAUUAUAUAUAAAACCUA
rnacentral:lncRNA from 1 species